GUGGCGCAACGGUAGCGCGUCCGACUCCAGAUCGGAAGGCUGCGUGUUCAAAUCGGUGACACGUC
rnacentral:tRNA from 1 species